rnacentral:rRNA from 1 species
AGAGUUUGAUCAUGGCUCAGGAUGAACGCUAGCGGCAGGCCUAAUACAUGCAAGUCGAACGCUCAGUAGCAAUACUGGGAGUGGCGCACGGGUGCGUAACGCGUACACAAUCUACCUCUAGGCGGGGGACACCUCCUGGAAACGGGGAUCAAUACCGCAUAAUAUGCCGAAGUCGCAUGACUUUGGUAUUAAAGCAGCAAUGCACUUAGAGAUGAGUGUGCGUCCCAUUAGGUAGUUGGUGAGGUAACGGCUCACCAAGCCUAUGAUGGGUAGCCGGUCUGAGAGGAUGGUCGGCCACACGGGCACUGAGACACGGGCCCGACUCCUACGGGAGGCAGCAGUAAGGAAUAUUGGUCAAUGGUGGAAACACUGAACCAGCCAUGCCGCGUGGAGGAAUAAGGUCCUACGGAUUGUAAACUCCUUUUGACGAGGAAGAAAAUGUUAGAUUUAUCUAAUUUUGACGGUACUCGUAGAAUAAGCACCGGCUAACUCCGUG